rnacentral:lncRNA from 1 species
GUUUAAUCAGGCUGAAGUGUAAGACCUAGAUGAGACUUAGCACAAGUAACGCCAUCUUGUUACAGGCCCUCCAUCUUGUCCCUGUGUGUUUCAGGUUCACUACAGGACACAGAGUUCCUGGAGUGUACUUAUUUAUCUGUUAAGACACCAUGGAAUGUACCAUUGUUUCUGUGUAGGGAACAUCCUGUUUGCUAAGUAAAGAACAUCUGCAACUGCCCCCCAACCGUCCCCUAACGGCAAAAAUUCCCCUUCUGUAGUUCUGCUUGCUAAGCACCCCUGCAGCCCCUAUAAAACCUUCCAACCUCCUGAGCUCGGGCCCUCUCUAAGCUUGUUUGCUUGGAGGGUGCCGUCUGGACAGACUAAUAAAGAAGAAACUGAAUCAAAGAACCAUGAUGGAGGGCCAGGGAUGUAGGUCAGUGGCACAGUAUCAGCCCUGAGUUCGAUUCCCAGUACCAAGAGAAAGAAGAAGAAGAAGAAGGAGAAGGAGAAGGAGAAGGAGAAGGAGAAGGAGAAGAAGAAGAAGAGAAGAAGAAGAGGAGGAGGAGGAGGAAGAGGAGGAGGAGGAAGAAGAAGAACCAUUAUGGGAUUAGAAUUUGCCUUAACCACAUCCACAGUCAAAUGAUAAAACAGGAUUAUAAUAUCAUGGCCCUGAGGCAACAUGUUUGCAGAAGAGGCUGAGAACACAAACCAGGAGGCUGGUACAUGGUCAACAUUUAACAAGUGCUGUUUGCCUUGCUCCCUCCCCAGCUCUGUUGCUACAGGGUGCUUUCUGAAAUUAUCUGAUCCCGUCCACACCUGCGCUCAUUUCCCAGCCCUCUCAUGGCCUCUCUUUCUUGGUUUAUACAAAUUUCUGCCAUUCUC